rnacentral:rRNA from 1 species
GAUGAACGCUGGCGGCGUGCCUAAUACAUGCAAGUCGAGCGAACAGACGAGUAGCUGGCUCCUCUGACGUUAGCGGCGGACGGGUGAGUAACACGUGGAUAACCUACCUAUAAGACUGGGAUAACUUCGGGAAACCGGAGCUAAUACCGGAUAAUAUAUUGAACCGCAUGGUUCAAUAGUGAAAGACGGGUUUGCUGUCACUUAUACAUGGAUCCGCGCCGCAUUAGCUAGUUGUUAAGGUAACGGCUUACAAAGGCAACGAUGGGUAGCCGCCAUGAGAGGGUGAAUCGAUAGACGGGAAGUGAGAAAGGGCACACACUCUGAGGGUGGGAAGCAGCAGGGAAUCCUACGCGAGGGAGCAGUGGCGGACGGAGGACCGUGGCGUGAGUCCUGAAGGUCCUCGGACCGUAAAACUCUGUUAUUAGGGAAGAACAAAUGUGUAAGUAACUAUGAACGUAUUGACGGUACCAACACAGAAAGCCACGGCUAACUCCGUG